ensembl:lncRNA
CAGAAGUUCAUUCUCUGUACCCAGACUACCCAUAGGGAAACCCUAGUUCAUCUCUCCCUUCCUGGGAGCAGGGCCAAGGGUUUAGACUUUCUUUAUCUCAUUUUCAUUGUCAGCAAAACACACUUAAGCUUCCAAGGAAGCUGUAGAAGAAGUUUAAACAUUGUUGGUCUCGCAUGACAGGAGCUGUAGAUCCUGGGGUGUUUAUUUAACUCAUGAGCAUGAGUUUACUCCUGUGAGAUAUGGAUUCUGGGUGUUUAAAACUGUUGAUCUCAGAUGAGUUGGGUCUCAGAUGAACUGUGGGUCCUUGAUGUGUAAAUUCAGGGUUUGUUUCUCACGUCAUUUUUUUUCUUGUUAGUGGAAGGACUAUGGAUCUGCUCCAUCACAAACUCACAGAAGAUUCAACCAGCCACAGCAACUCUGAACCCCCACAUCCUCAUCUGUAAGUAGAGACAAGAAUGCUUAACCACGGGAGAUGGCUCUGAGGAUAACCAAGAUGUCCGAGUUCUGGGGAAUCAACUGACUUUCAGAGAAUGGGUCUUUGCAACUACGCUGUCAUUUAUAAACACCGGAUAAACGUGUCUAAUGAAACCUGCCUUUUCUUCAUAAGUCAGGAAGAGGAGCUGUGUUGGCAGGUUGAGUGGUGGAGCAGGGUGCUGGUCUCCCUGCUACGACUCCAGUGCCAGCCCGAUCCAUCCACUGAUGCGUCCUCCCAACCCUCUGAUGCCUUCCUGCCCUUUUGGUCUCUGCUGCUUCCCUGGGAUGAGAACCAAGAUGAAGCAAUGUCAGGCUGAUGUCUCCUCCAUCGUAGUCUCUCAACGCUGGUACAGCAUCUAGUCAGAACUGGGGCCCCUGAGAAUAUUUACAAAGCCCUUUCUAAAAGCUUUCGGGGGCGGUAGCAAUAUUAGGCAAAGCGCAAAUCCAUCAGUUUGCCUGGGUACCCUCAUGAACAUGCCUUUCAUCACUUUGCUUCAAAUUAUUUUCUUUCCAGGGCUCCAGCUUCACCCCCAUCCUGUCACGUUCUCUCCCUCUGUCAGGUUAAAAGUAUAUUGACCUCUGGGCCGAGAGCCCUAACUCCGUCUACAGUCCCUGGUUCUUCAUGUCUCCGGGGACUGAAAACAGUAGGGACACGAGGAGAUGGUUUUAGUUUCCCUUCCUCCAGUCUCUCUGUGCUUCCAGACCCAGUGUGGUGGGGGAGGGACUCCUCCGGCUUCUCUGGGUCCAGUUCUAUUUGUAGAUACAAGGGCAGGGCUGGCCUAGAUCACUGGGUUUUCUUGCUUGUACCACCACAGCAUAGCUAAACCGAGGACCUCAAGGGACAGGGGGCAACUUUCACAUUGCAUCCUGGUGGCAUGCCCUUUACUCCCAGAGCUGGCCUCCAAGCACUAGAGCAACCUUCUAGCCACCUCACUCAUGGAAUGAGCCGGGCCUGGCUGUUGCUUGAGUCUAGCCCACAGGGUUCGGUUUCACUACAGAGCAGGGACGCCAUCAUUUCACAAGGGCACUCCUUCAGUUUACGUGGACCGGCAUAGACUGGCCUGGGUAGACAGUCCUAUUUACUGUUAUAAGAGACAUUGGGUGCAGGAGGGAACAGGCUGUGCCUACUUCACAUGGCCAGGGAUGCAGGUAUGCAGUUUCCCAAACAUAGUUUCUCAGACGGUCACCACACGGGAGGGCAUCGGAGCGCACUCUGACGGCUGAGGUCUGUGCAGAUCAACGAGAGCCUUCUAAAGCACUUUUAUUGAAGCACGGAUGGGGAAGCGUAGGUUCCAGUAGGUUUCCAGUCAGCUAUAGCUACAGUGAGUGAACAGGAGCCAGCCCAAAUGAGACCACCACAGGGAGUGAAUACGAAGUCCUUUCUUCCUCACGAACACAGUUUUUUUUUUUUUUCCAGAGCUGGGGACCGAACCCAGGGCCUUGCGCUUGCUAGGCAAGCGCUUCUACCACUGAGCUAAAUCCCCAACCCCACGAACACAGUUUUAGGAUGCUGACAGCAUCGUCUCUUUUCCUCCUACAAGGCUUUUGUUUGCUUGUUUUUAUACUACCUACCUUCUGUGGAUACUGUUUCGUUGUUGUUUUUAAUUGAUAGUGUUUCUUCUCAGAUGAGGUCUUUGUAACCCAGGCUGGCCUAGAAUUCAUUAUGUAGCCCAGGCUGGCCUAGAAUUCAUUAUGUAGCCCAGGGUGGACCUGAACUCCCAGAGAUUGGGUAUGGGUGUGAGCCACCACAGUGGGCUACUGUUGCUGUUAGGUGUUUUUCUGAUUUGUGUGUGUGUGUGUGUGUGUGUGUGUGUGUGUGUGUGUGUGUGUGUGUGUUUCUUGGCAGCAGUCCACAUUGGUUUCAAAUACAGGGUUCUAAGUGAGACCUGAGGCUUUCUUUUUUCUCUUUGGCGCCAUGGUUAUGACAGCAACCAGACUCACGCUUAUUCAUAAUUGGGUGCUGGGGAUGGCAAGCAAGCUCUCUCUAGGGUCAAGAAUAAUGUUUGAGGGGACUUCUCCAUAACCUGAAUAGAAAGGGGUGUGGGGGAGAAGAGCUAAAGUCAUUUCUCAGGGUGGUGGGUAUGGCCAGAUUCUGUACCUUUUCUGAAUUCUCAACUCUCCCACACUCCACGAUGCAGGUGAGAUUCUGAGAAUCUCAUAGAUAAGGAACUAAGCGGAAAAGGGCUAGGAGGCUUAACAAACUUUGCUGGAGGUAAUCCUCGCCGUCUAGGUUAGAAUGCUGGCUUUGCCUGGUAUGAAGGGAAUUCUCAAGCUGUUAGAUAGACGGAGUCCUCUUCAAGAAUUCAACAGACAGAAUGUGCACGGGGCUGAAAGUGAGCACACGCCGCAGGGCAGGCAUAUCCCUGGAGCGAAUGGUGUUCGCACAUUCGUUAGCCACUGGAACCGCCGGGGUUUUUUUCUGCAGUGGACUUCUGUGACAGAAUGGAGGGCAGGGGAUGGUAGGUAGCUAUGGCGCGGUUGCCUUGUACUGCAGGCUAAUGUUAACCUGGUUCUAUUUACUUCAGGACACCUGACCAUCUUCACACAGCGUCCCCCUCCCUCUUCGUCCUCCUGGAUGCCCUCCUUUCCCGCGGAGUUGUCAUAAAGAAAAGCCCUUGGCAUCUUUACUCCCCACUGCCAAAGGGUACCAACUUCCCAAAGUUCUAGGGCGCUUUCCUCUGGGAUCGCUGCCCACAUCAGGCCAGGAGACUCCGAGUGACCCCGAGAAGCCAGAGAGACCAUGCAACCCCUGUAUUCAUUUUCACACGGGUUCCUCGCAAAUGCAUGCGGUGCUCCGCGGGGGGCACGCGGGGGAGCCUCGGG